UACGAAGGGGGCGAGCGUUGUUCGGAAUUACUGGGCGUAAAGGGCGCGUAGGCGGCCGAUCAAGUCAGCUGUGAAAGUCCUGGGCCUAACCUGGGGACUGCAUUUGAUACUGAUUGGCUUGAAUUCGGGAGAGGAUAGCGGAAUUCCCAGUGUAGAGGUGAAAUUCGUAGAUAUUGGGAAGAACACCGGUGGCGAAGGCGGCUAUCUGGACCGACAUUGACGCUGAGGCGCGAAAGCGUGGGGAGCAAACAGG
rnacentral:rRNA from 1 species